rnacentral:rRNA from 1 species
GACGUAGGGUGCAAGCGUUGUCCGGAUUUAUUGGGCGUAAAGAGCUCGUAGGCGGCUUGUUGCGUCGACUGUGAAAACCUGCAGCUUAACUGUGGGCGUGCGGUCGAUACGGGCAUCACUGGAGUUCGGCAGGGGAGACUGGAAUUCCUGGUGUAGCGGUGAAAUGCGCAGAUAUCAGGAGGAACACCAAUAGCGAAGGCAGCUCGCUGGGACGGUACUGACGCUGAGGCGCGAAAGCGUGGGGAGCGAACAGG